rnacentral:rRNA from 1 species
CCCUUAGAUGUUCUGGGCUGCACGCGUGCUACAAUGGCGCUUGCAACAAGUCUUGCCAACCCGAUAGGGUGAGCGGAUCUUUGAAGAGGCGUCGUGAUCGGGACAGUUGAUUGCAAUUAUUCGACUCGAACGAGGAAUUCCUUGUAAUCGCGAUUCAUCAUAUCGCGCUGAAUACGUCCCUGCCCUUUGUACACACCGCCCGUCGCUCCUACCGAUUGAGCGAUCCGGUGAAUGUUUUGGACUGGCGUCAGAAGCGGUUCGCUCCUGACACUACGAAAUUUUGUAAACCUUAUCGCUUAGAGGAAGGAAAGGUCGUAACA